rnacentral:tRNA from 1 species
GCGCGAGUGGCGAAAUGGCAGACGCGCCAGGUUUAGGUCCUGGUGCCCCCGGGCGUGCGGGUUCGACUCCCGCCUCGCGCA